rnacentral:rRNA from 1 species
CUUGCACUCACCGAUAAAAAGUUGAGUGGCGAACGGGUGAGUAACACGUGGGCAACCUGCCCAAAAGAGGGGGAUAACACUUGGAAACAGGUGCUAAUACCGCAUAACCAUAGUUACCGCAUGGUAACUAUGUAAAAGGUGGCUAUGCUACCGCUUUUGGAUGGGCCCGCGACGCAUUAGCUAGUUGGUGGGGUAAAGGCUUACCAAGGCAAUGAUGCGUAGCCGAACUGAGAGGUUGAUCGGCCACAUUGGGACUGAGACACGGCCCAAACUCCUACGGGAGGCAGCAGUAGGGAAUCUUCCACAAUGGGCGAAAGCCUGAUGGAGCAACGCCGCGUGGGUGAAGAAGGUCUUCGGAUCGUAAAACCCUGUUGUUAGAGAAGAAAGUGCGUGAGAGUAACUGUUCACGUUUCGACGGUAUCUAACCAGAAAGCCACGGCUAACUACGUGCCAGCAGCCGCGGUAAUACGUAGGUGGCAAGCGUUAUCCGGAUUUAUUGGGCGUAAAGAGAACGCAGGCGGUCUUUUAAGUCUGAUGUGAAAGCCUUCGGCUUAACCGGAGUAGUGCAUUGGAAACUGGGAGACUUGAGUGCAGAAGAGGAGAGUGGAACUCCAUGUGUAGCGGUGAAAUGCGUAGAUAUAUGGAAGAACACCAGUGGCGAAAGCGGCUCUCUGGUCUGUAACUGACGCUGAGGUUCGAAAGCGUGNGUAGCAAACAGGAUUAGAUACCCUGGUAGUCCACGCCGUAAACGANGAAUGCUA